CCUACGGGAGGCAGCAGUGAGGAAUAUUGGUCAAUGGACGAGAGUCUGAACCAGCCAAGUAGCGUGAAGGAUGACUGCCCUAUGGGUUGUAAACUUCUUUUAUAUGGGAAUAAAAUGUUCCACGUGUGGGAUUUUGUAUGUACCAUAUGAAUAAGGAUCGGCUAACUCCGUGCCAGCAGCCGCGGUAAUACGGAGGAUCCGAGCGUUAUCCGGAUUUAUUGGGUUUAAAGGGAGCGUAGGUGGAUUUUUAAGUCAGUUGUGAAAGUUUGCGGCUCAACCGUAAAAUUGCAGUUGAAACUGGCAGUCUUGAGGACAGUAGAGGUGGGCGGAAGUCGUGGUGUAGCGGUGAAAUGCUUAGAUAUCACGAAGAACUCCGAUUGCGAAGGCAGUUCACUGGACUGCAACUGACACUGAGGCUCGAAAGUGUGGGUAUCAAACAGGAUUAGAUACCCUGGUAGUC
rnacentral:rRNA from 1 species